GUGAGGAAUAUUGGUCAAUGGGCGAGAGCCUGAACCAGCCAAGUCGCGUGAGGGAAGACGGUCCUAUGGAUUGUAAACCUCUUUUGUCGGGGAGCAAUAGGGAUUACGCGUAAUCCUUGAGAGAGUACCCGAAGAAAAAGCAUCGGCUAACUCCGUGCCAGCAGCCGCGGUAAUACGGAGGAUGCGAGCGUUAUCCGGAUUUAUUGGGUUUAAAGGGUGCGUAGGCCGGCCGGCAAGUCAGCGGUAAAAUUGAGAGGCUCAACCUCUUCGAGCCGUUGAAACUGUUGGUCUUGAGUGGGCGAGAAGUAUGCGGAAUGCGUGGUGUAGCGGUGAAAUGCAUAGAUAUCACGCAGAACUCCGAUUGCGAAGGCAGCAUACCGGCGCCCAACUGACGCUGAAGCACGAAAGCGUGGGGAUCAAACAGGA
rnacentral:rRNA from 1 species